AUGGCUGGGAGGAGCACGUGGGUAAAGUCGGUUAUCACUUCGCAGGCCAUCCACCACCUCACUUCGCUUGUGGUGCCCAAAGGAAUGAUGGUGUCCAUCGUCAAGCUGCAGCGAGCUUUUCUUUGGGGAGGCACGGAUAAAGUUUCUGGAGGUAAAUGUAAGAUAAGAUGGGAGAAAGUUUGUACGCCCAAGGGCAUGGGCGGCCUAGGCAUCCUGGACAUGGAAAAAUUUGCACGUGCCUUACGGCUCAGAUGGCCUUGGUUGGUUUGGAAGGACGCGGAAAGAGCUUGGGUUGAUUUG
rnacentral:rRNA from 1 species